UACGUAGGGCGCAAGCGUUGUCCGGAAUUAUUGGGCGUAAAGAGCUCGUAGGUGGCUUGUCGCGUCUGCUGUGAAAACCCGAGGCUCAACCUCGGGCCUGCAGUGGGUACGGGCAGACUAGAGUGCGGUAGGGGAGAUUGGAAUUCCUGGUGUAGCGGUGGAAUGCGCAGAUAUCAGGAGGAACACCGAUGGCGAAGGCAGAUCUCUGGGCCGUAACUGACGCUGAGGAGCGAAAGCGUGGGGAGCGAACAGG
rnacentral:rRNA from 1 species